UUUAUAAGAGUAGGAGAAAUGAAUUUUGAUUUCAUAAAUAUUUAUUUUUAGAUUUAUAAAAUAUUAUAAAUCAAUUAAUUAAGUAUGAAAAUAAUAAAUUUAUUUUAAAUAAAAUAAUAUAAAAUAAAAUAUUUGUUAAAGUAUAAAUUUAGAAAUAAUUAAUUUAAUAUGAGAUAGUAAUGAAAGUGAAAAUUAUUAAUAGUUAAAAAAUAAAUUUUAUUAAUUGUACCUUUUGUAUCAGGGUUGAUUAAAUAAAGUAUUAAAAUUUAAUGUUUCUCGAAUUUAAAAGAUUUAACUAAAAAUAUUAGUUAAUGUAGCAAGAUUAUUAAAAAUUUUUAGUUGGAAGUGAAAUAUUAAUCAAUUUUAAAGAUAUCUAGUUUUUUUAGAAAUGAAUAUAAUUCAGCAUUAUAAAUUAUAUUUAUAUAAUUGUUAAAAUUAUAAUUAAUUUAUAAAUUUAUAAGGUAAAUAUUUUUGGGAUAAGCUAGGAAUAUAAAUAAAUAAUUUUUUUUUAUUUAUUAAUUAUAUAAAUAUUCAUAAAAUUUGAAUUUUUUAUAAAAAAUGUUAUAAUUUAUAAUUAAUUAAAAUUUAAAUUUAUAAAAAAAUUUUUAUUUAUAUAAAAAAAUAUAUUGAAUAAUAAAAUUAUAUAUUAUAAUGAUUAAAUUAGUAAAUUUAUAUGAAUGUUUAAAUUAUUUAUUUAAUAUUAGAUAAAUUAUUUUAAGGAAUUCGACAANUUUUUUUUUUAUAAAAUAUGUAUUCACCUGUUUAUCAAAAACAUGUCCUAUUAGAUAAUAAUAUUAGGUCUAUUCUGCCCAUUGAAAAUUAAAUUAAAAGGCUGCAGUAUAUUGACUGUACAAAGGUAGCAAAAUCAAUAGUUUUUUAAUUGGAAACUGGAAUGAAAGAGUGAAUGAAAUAUAAAUUGUCUCAAGAUAACAAAUUGAAUUUAAAUUAAAAGUAAAAAUGCUUUUGUUUAAUUAUUAGACGAGAAGACCCUAUAGAAUUUAAUAAAAUUUAUUUUUUAAAUAUAUUAUGUUAUAAUUAUUUAUUAAAUAUUUAUAUUUUAUUGGGAGGAUAUUUAAAUUUAUUUAACUUUAAUUAAAAUAAACAUUAAUUAAUGAAAGUUAUUGAUUAUUAUUAUAAUUAUUAGAAUAAAUUACCUUAGGGAUAACAGCGUAAUAAUUUUGGAGAGUUCAUAUUGAUAAAAUUGUUUGCGACCUCGAUGUUGAAUUAUGGUAAAAAUUAGAUGGAGAUAUCUAAAAUUUUAGUCUGUUCGACUAUUAAAAUCAUACAUGAUUUGAGUUCAGAUCGGUGUGAGCCAGAUCGGUUUCUAUCUAUAAUAUGAAUAGAUAUUUUAUUGUACGAAAGGACUUAAAAUAUUAAAUAUUUUAUAAUAAUUAAUUUUAUUUAAUGUAAUUAAAUUAAAAAUUAAUUUUGAAUUAAAUUAAUAUUAUUAAUUAAU
rnacentral:rRNA from 1 species